GAGUUAGCCGGUGCUUAUUCCUAAGGUACCGUCAAAAUUCUUCCCUCAGAAAAGAUCUUUACACCCCGAAGGGCUUCAUCAAUCACGCGGUGUUGCUCCAUCAGACUUUCGUCCCAUUGUGGAAGAUUCCUUA
rnacentral:rRNA from 1 species